rnacentral:rRNA from 1 species
GACGAACGCUGGCGGCGUGCUUAACACAUGCAAGUCGAACGGAAAGGCCCUGCUCUUGUGGGGUGCUCGAGUGGCGAACGGGUGAGUAACACGUGAGUAACCUGCCCUUGACUUUGGGAUAACUUCAGGAAACUGGGGCUAAUACCGGAUAUGAGCACCUGCUGCACGGGGGGGGUGGGUAAGUGUCGGCGGUUGGGGAUGGACUCGCGGCUUAUCAGCUUGUUGGCGGGGUGGUGGCUUACCAAGGCUUUGAGGGGUAGCCGGCCUGAGAGGGUGACCGGCCACAUUGGGACUGAGAUGCGGCCCGGACUCCUACGGGAGGCAGCAGUGGGAGAUAUAGCACAAUGGGCGGAAGCCGGGUGCAGCAACGCCGCGUGGGGGAUGACGGCCUUCGGGUUGUAACCCGCGUUCGCCUGUGACGAAGCGUGAGUGGCGGUAAUGGGUAAAGAAGCACCGGCUAACUACGUG